GAUGAACGCUGGCGGCGUGCCUAAUACAUGCAAGUCGAGCGAACCACUUCGGUGGUGAGCGGCGAACGGGUGAGUAACACGUAGGUUAUCUGCCCAUCAGACGGGGACAACGAUUGGAAACGAUCGCUAAUACCGGAUAGGACGAAAGUUUAAAGGUGCUUCGGCACCACUGAUGGAUGAGCCUGCGGCGCAUUAGCUAGUUGGUAGGGUAAAGGCCUACCAAGGCGACGAUGCGUAGCCGACCUGAGAGGGUGAACGGCCACACUGGGACUGAGACACGGCCCAGACUCCUACGGGAGGCAGCAGUAGGGAAUCUUCGGCAAUGGGCGAAAGCCUGACCGAGCAACGCCGCGUGAAUGAUGAAGGCCUUCGGGUUGUAAAAUUCUGUUAUAAGGGAAGAAUGGCUCUAGUAGGAAAUGGCCAGAGUGUGACGGUACCUUAUGAGAAAGCCACGGCUAACUACGUGCCAGCCGCCGCAGUAAUAC
rnacentral:rRNA from 1 species